CGUUUUUGGAGCCAUUGAGAUUUGGCUCUAAGGACGUCGUACCCCGUUCAUACUAUUUUAUGGAGGAGAAAAACCCUAGGCCACCAUAUCCCAUUUUCGGUCCUUGAAACCGAUUGAGGCUCAGGCCGUAUCCCACCGUCCUUAGCCGAGCAGCGCCUCCCUUUCAACUCCGAUUUCAACAGAGCAGGUGAGGGCGACGGUGGACUAACGGAGGCCUGGACGAAGUCAACGGAGAUGAAAUUUUCCGUUUUGGUGCAAAGGGGGCUAGGCCUCGGGCAGUGGACGCGCUGACACCGCACCUGGAGGCAGCGGCGCAGAUCACCUUUUUUUAAUUUUUGAUUUUUUUUUUUUGUACUCUUCUGUGUAUAUUUCUGUCAAAAAAAAGUUUACAUAUGGUUCGGUCUUUUAUAGCUGAGAAUAAACGAUACCACUGUUUUAUUUUCCUCUCGUUACUAUUUUUUUUUUGUCCUUUCUCUGUCUUUCGUCUUUUCUUGUUUCGUUCGCAGGCCUGGACGAAGUCAACGGAGAUGAAAUUUUCCGUUUUGGUGCAAAGGGGGCUAGGCCUCGGGCAGUGGACGCGCUGACACCGCACCUGGAGGCAGCGGCGCAGAGGGCUGUGGCUAGGGCUUGCUUUCCUCCGAAAAUAGUUAGGUGUUGGGCUUAGGGUUUGAAUUUGAUUUUGGGCUUUGGGACUGGGGUUGGUUUAGUUUGGGCUUAUUUUUAUUUGGGUUUUUAGGCCCAGGUCAAAAUUGACCUGUUACAAAAUGUUUAUAGUACAAAUGAGCACGAAUAAUACAUAAUUAUGUAAUAUUUGUUAUAUUAUCAUGCAUAAUUACAUUAUCAAUAAACAUUUGUUAUACACA